rnacentral:rRNA from 1 species
UCGCCUGUUUAUCAAAAACAUGGUUUCUUGUUUAUUUAAGAGAUCUGGCCUGCCCACUGAUUAUAUUAAAGGGCCGCAGUAUACUGACUGUGCAAAGGUAGCAUAAUCAUUAGUCUUUUAAUUGAGGACUGGUAUGAAUGGUCGGACAAGGUAAAAACUGUCUUAUGUAAAUUUUUGUUGAAUUUAUGUUUUAAGUAAAAAAACUUAAAUUCAAUUAAGGGACGAGAAGACCCUAUAGAGUUUUAUAAAUGUAAUUGUAAUUAAGUUAAUAGUAAAUUUUUAAUUAUUGUAAAAUUUAUUUAGUUGGGGCGAUUGGAAGAUAAAAUAAACUCUUCUUAAAGUUAAAUAUUUUAUGUAAAUAUAAGAUCCAUAAAUAGUGAUUAAAAGAUUAAAUUACCUUAGGGAUAACAGCAUUAUCUUUUUUGAGAGUUCAAAUUGAGAAAAGGGAUUGUGACCUCGAUGUUGGAUUAAGAUAAAUAUUGGGUGUAGGUGUUCAAUAAUUAAGUCUGUUCGACUUUUAAAAUCUUACAUGAU